AGCCUCUCAAAUUAAUGGUUAAAAUGUGUUUGCUCUGGGACAGAAGACACAAUCUGUAACAAACCAAAGUUCCUAAAUUAAUUACUCAGCCAUCUCUUUGCCCAGGAAAUGAACGUUCCGGGCCCCCUAUCCAUAGAACAAUCUGUAGAUGUGCUGACUGUCAGUACGUAAUGGUCGUGACUAAUAGUCAGUGUGUCUGCUGACCAUGAGUACGUGACAGUCGACCAACAACCUUUGCCCCUCAUUUCCCUCGUAAAACCUACAUGUAACCGCCCCUCAAGCCCCGCCCAUGCACCUGGCCAAUCAAAAAUGUACACUUCAUGCUUGCUAAUUGUCAACCAAUCAUGUAACUGCUAAAUGGAAAAUCUUCAAACCUUGCUGUAACCUCUAUAAAAACCCCGCUAAUUUGAAAUUCGGGGCUCUCGAUCUUGAUUCGCUGCGUCGGUGACAAUUGAGAGUCCCUGCUCGAGCUUGAAUAAAGGACCCUGACCCUCGUGCGUUUGCAUCGGAAUCGGCUCCUUGGUGGUCUUUGGGGACUUCGUGAUCUGGGCACAACAAAACUGAUCUAAAUGGAAAAUGGAAAAGAUGUCCCCAAAUGGAAGGGGUCUUUGUUAAUAAUCAGGCACAUGUUGCUUAGGAUGCAGCCACUCAUCAGCCUGGUGGGCAUGGAACCUUGUCUAUCUACUGUGGCCUCUUCAGGAGGCCCAACAUGCCUUAGAGAGCAGCCAGUUGGGGCCAAUGUCCAGGGAUCCGUGUGCCGCUUCACCCCCAAAGCUUCCUGAAGAGUGAGAUGGCUCCAGUGGCCUCCGGCAUGGAUAAGAAUGUGUAAGGGGGCCUUGGGGAGGAUGCUGAUGGUCAAGAGGGGCAGUGGAAUUGAAGCCAGAUGUCAAGGGCUUCUGGGGCCCAAAGGGUCAGACCAACUCAGAACCUAGGGCAUAC
rnacentral:lncRNA from 1 species